GUUUGCUGACCCCUGGACUAAACCAUAUGACCCUCAAGGUCUCUUCCAACUCUACAAUUCUAUGAAAAGGGGAGUACAAGAAAAAAUAAAUUCAGACCCUAUCAUUGUUGGGUAUAUUGCAUAUGUUUGUAGUGAUAUCCAUGCUACUUAUAGUUACAAUAAUAAUUUGUAAAUAGUAUACCGUUCUAUAUCUUAAGUAUCAGACCCCAACUAGAUUUUUGCCUGGUCUGCCUGAUUUUAGGAUAUCAGAUUAUGAGCCACGAGGCAAAACAUUUAUUCUCUCCAAUCUGAUCAGGUUAAAUAUAAGGGGUUGUAGCCAAUGCUAGAGCUACACAGAGUAGGCCUGCUGAAGUUAAUAGGCAUGGCUUAGGUUCAUUAUUUCCAUUGGGUCUACUCAGAGUGCAAGUUAAGUUAGAUACAGCCCAGGAUUUGCAUCUGAAGCAUAGAAAAUAAACAGAAAUACAGCCAGUGUAAUGUCGCCUUCUAACAGAUCGUUUCAUUUGAUUUUUGCAAUUCUUGCUCUUGUGUUUUAUUAUUUAGAUUUUAUAGUACAUCAGUGGUGGACGACCUGACGCCACCUGCUCUCUGUUUGGCCCUCUCCUUAGGCCAGACCCCUUCCCCAGCCAUGCCCCCAACCAGGGGUGGCUGGUACCCAUUAGGUCAAGGAGGGCAGAAGACAGGGAGCCGCCAGUAGAUGGAGCCAGAGGCAAUGGCAGGCAGAGACGGUCAGUCUAGUUUUGUCCCCAUCCUCCUCCUCCUCCUCUCUGAUAAGUUCUACAAGGGGCAACAAUGAGAUGCAGGUGGAGGAAACUGGCAGCCAACUCUACCACCGUACUGAUUGUAAGUAAGGAGGCAGCCCAGGGGGGCUGAGAGGGCAGGCAGAGGUUGGUGGGGCAAGGCCCCAUUUACCCUACUCGGCCAGCCACCACUGACCCUGCCAGACCCUAUUUUCCAGAGACAGUCCUGGAUUCACAGAAGCUGUCCUGGUUUCUGAUUUGAUCCGAAAACAUCCCACUUUUCCUUAGGGCGUCCCUGAUUUCAUUGGUGAAAUGUUGGAGGGUAUGGUAGGAUGUCCCUAUUUUUGUCUGAGAAAUGUUGAAGGUUGUGGAGUUCUCCAACCCCUGAGCCAUCUGAAGGCAGCCCUGUAUAGGGAAGUUUCUAAAUUGGGUUUAAGUAGGGAUGGGCAAAUAUAUCCAUUUUGGUUCUUCUCAGUUUCUCCCUUUUCCAGUCUAAAGUUCAGUUUGGGAUACAUAUUUUUUUAAGUCCUCAUGAAGAUUCAUCAACAUUUGAAGGCACUUUCCUCUUAAUAUACACUUUUUUUAUAUGCAAUUUUGCCUAAUGCAAUACAAUGUUCGUAUGUUAUUUUCACAAAUAUAUGCAUUUACAUGCACACUUUAGUAUGUGAAUUUUGUACACAUUACUUGUCCAGAUCUGUGUUGUGAAAUUCAGAGAAGUGCAAAUUUCGAGGGAUGGCUGUGUUUCUGUUCUCGUAUUGUUUUGUAAAGUGCAAAUCAGGUACGUUUGCCUUUCGAUAUGAACCGAAUCAAAUUUCUCUUCCUGUUCCUAGGUGUGGGACCUUGGCAGACAGUCAAACAUGUCUCCUUUGGGCGCUGCCUCUGGUCAGAUGUUUACAUUCAGCCUUGUAAUCUGACAUGAUUCAUUGUUUUAAGCGAAUGAAUCAAACUUCACUGAAUGACGGCGGUAUUAUUAUUUUUAUUUCUCUAUUUAUUUGGCUUGGACAGCUGAAGAUCCCUGAUGAAAUUCUUCAGAUAGUGCACCGCCAGAAUCCUCUGCUUAUUUAUUCGAGGUUUUCCCCCUGAAGACCGUCUCCUGUGGAUCGUGGCCCUGGGGUGCGUGUGUCUAGUCGAUGGAAUUGGAUUCGGCAUCCAGCCCCUCUUGCACAGAAAGUGUCAAACGGAGGAAGAUGAACUAGGCGUUGCGGGAGUAAACGUUGCCAUCUUGUCAAGACUAAAAUAAACUCCCCGUUAAUAAACGAGGUUGGGGAUUGGAAGAGAGCUUUUCGCCAUAAAAGGAGCCGAACGCUAAAAUUAUUGCCCCUAGAACCAUCGUGGGAGUAAAGAAAUUGUUUGUAUUAAAAAAAGGAAUGAUGUGUGUGUCUGUGUGUAACUCAUCCUGGGGUCUAUAUAUACAGCUUCUCUGCCGCCCUACAUGACUCUAAAGCACCUUUUGACCCCCGUGCUAUUUGUGGGAAGGUCUGCGUGUUGUUGAUGGGCAACUGAGAGCUGAAGAGAGACAUCAUUUGAACCAGAAUGCGCAAUUUAGCCCUCGAGUUGGGAACUGAUAGCCUUCCAGAUUUUGUUGGGACUCCAGCUCCCACCAGCCCCAGCUAGCACAGCCAAUGGUCAGGGAUGAUGGGAUUUGUAGUCCAGAAAUGUCUGGAGGGUCGCAGGGCUCAUCUGGGCACCCGUUUAUUGAGCUUUCAUCCUGAUUUGCUUGUAGGAUGCUUAUGUGGAGGUCGGACCAAGCAUUAUCUUUACUGAACGUCAAUCCUGAUAUGCUUCCCACUCAUCAUUUGUUCAUCCAACGUUUUUCUAUGCAUUUUCUCAUCACUUUCCUAACUGCAAAAAUUCUUUUAAAAAGUGGCUUUGUUGCACUCAGAAGCGAGGGGACUUGAACCCCCAUAUAUGGAAGUUUUAAAUGUUUGAUGCUUAAUAUCUUUUUAUAUCUGUUGGGAGCCGUCCAGAGUGGUUGGGGCAACCCAGUCAGAUGGGUGGAGUACAAAUAAUUACAUUAUUCUUAUUUUUAUUAUACCUCCUGCAGGUGACAGGUGUGAGUUUCACAUUUAUGUGACAGCCCCAAUAAUGCACUUUUAGGCUGCUAAAAUAAUUCAUUACAUGUCUAAAGGCAUUUAGCAGGCAUUUAUAUACAUGUGCCAAGGCUUUGUUACAGUCAAGGAGAACGCUUUUGAUAAUUUGGAAACAUGAAUUAUUGUAUUAUAAUGGAACCUUGAUUCUUGCAUGCCUUGGUACACAAACAUUUCAGCUCCUGAACGCCGAAACCCUGGAAGUAAGUGUUCCAGUUUUUGAACGUUUUUCAGAAGCUGAACGUCCGAUGCGGCUGUCGGCUAUGGUUUCCGGGGCGCCUGCACCAAUCGGAAGCCGCGCCUUGGUUUUUGAACGUUUCAGAAGUCGAAUGGACUUCUGGAACGGAUUAUGUUUGAGAACCAAGGUACCACUGUAUUUGCUACUGUGUUGUAAGCAGCCACGCAUUCCUUGGUGACGUAGAGGGUUUGGGUCUCGAACCAGAGACCAAGCCUGAUCUAAGCCUGUGCUGCCAUGGCAGUUCACCAGUAGAGGGAGCCACUGGCUUGUUCUCUUUCUUGCGCUUGGGUGCCACCAAUACAGCUGGCUGGAAGGAGGUACUGCAGCUUCCACACUCAGCGGAUGUCAGGUGACACAAGGAAGCCAAUGUGCUUUUGUCUGGCCCAUAUAUAUAUAUAUAUAUAUAUAUAUAUAUAUAUAUAUACACACACACAUACAUAUAUAUAUGUAUUUUUGAGAAUACUAAGGAAAAACCAUCUUCCGCAGAAACUGCUGCUUGCCUUCUAUCACUGUGCCAUUGAGAGCGUGCUCACUUAUGGCUUAUGUGUGUGGUACGGAAGCUGUACUACCCAGGACAGGAUGGGGUUGUGCAGGGUUGUUAAGGCAGCAGAGGGCAUUGUUGGCUGCCCACUCUCCACCUUAGAGCAGAUUUAUGCCACAAGGUGCCAUAGGAAGGCACUGGACAUAGUAAAAGAUCCAUCGCAUCCUGGUCACUGUCUCUUCGAGCUCUUGCCGUCGGGACGGAGAUACAGGACGAUGAAGACAAGAACGAGCCGUCUUAAAAACAGCUUCUUCUCCAGAGCGAUCUCGGCCCUGAAUGGGAAGCCCGGACUUUGAAAGUCAUCUAAUCUCCCUUGCUGUAUUAUACUGUAUUGAUUAAUUAGUGUUUUUAUGGAGCAGUC